AGUGGUUAGAGCAGGUAGCCUAGUGGUUAGAGCGUUGGACUAGUAACCGGCAGGUAGCCUAGUGGUUAGAGCGUUGGACUAGUAACCAGCAGGUAGCCUAGUGGUUAGAGCGUUGGACUAGUAACCAGCAGGUAGCCUAGUGGUUAGAGCGUUGGACUAGUAACCAGCAGGUAGCCUAGUGGUUAGAGCGUUGGACUAGUAACCAGCAGGUAGCCUAGUGGUUAGAGCGUUGGACUAGUAACCAGCAGGUAGCCUCGUGGUUAGAGCGUUGGACUAGUAACCAGCAGGUAGCCUAGUGGUUAGAGCGUUGGACUAGUAACCAGCAGGUAGCCUAGUGGUUAGAGCGUUGGACUAGUAACCAGCAGGUAGCCUAGUGGUUAGAGCGUUGGACUAGUAACCAGCAGGUAGCCUAGUGGUUAGUGUUGGACUAGUAACCAGCAGGUAGCCUAGUGGUUAGAGCGUUGGACUAGUAACCAGCAGGUAGCCUAGUGGUUAGAGCGUUGGACUAGUAACCAGCAGGUAGCCUAGUGGUUAGAGCGUUGGACUAGUAACCAGCAGGUAGCCUAGUGGUUAGAGCGUUGGACUAGUAACCAGCAGGUAGCCUAGUGGUUAGAGCGUUGGACUAGUAACCAGCAGGUAGCCUAGUGGUUAGAGCGUUGGACUAGUAACCAGCAGGUAGGCUAGUGGUUAGAGCGUUGGACUAGUAACCAGCAGGUAGCCUAGUGGUUAGAGCGUUGGACUAGUAACCAGCAGGUAGCCUAGUGGUUAGAGCGUUGGACUAGUAACCAGCAGAUAGCCUAGUGGUUAGAGUGUUGGACUAGUAAC